rnacentral:rRNA from 1 species
CGGGUGAGUAACGCGUGAGGAACCUGCCUCAAAGAAGGGGACAACAGUUGGAAACGACUGCUAAUACCGCAUAAGCCCACGGCUCGGCAUCGAGCAGAGGGAAAAGGAGCAAUCCGCUUUGAGAUGGCCUCGCGUCCGAUUAGCUAGUUGGUGAGGUAACGGCCCACCAAGGCGACGAUCGGUAGCCGGACUGAGAGGUUGAACGGCCACAUUGGGACUGAGACACGGCCCAG